GUUGCUCUUGCUCUUCUGUAUUUCCUUGGAUCCUAUAUCUCCAUGCUUCGAUGCACCCAGGAACGCUGCCGUUGGCUUCCUCGUAAAUCUGUCCCUCAUGACUCUAACUCCACAGAGGGCCCAAGGCCCGUGGCAGAGACAGUCAAACACCGAAGACUCCUUUCCUUAG